CUUAGACCUAACCAUUCUUCUUCAGCCGCAACAGCACAAACCCCCCUACUCAUCUUCUUCGACCAACCCCGCUGCCCCAUGCCCAUCGUUGACCACCCUUCCUCUGUCAACGAGCAGCCAUCACAUCCACCCUUCACCACCAAGCAGCGUCCCCAUCGUCGCAUCUAUCUCCAGCAGCCAUGGUUGCUGCUUCUUCUUCUUCGUUCCAGCGACGUCGAGCAACAGCUCCUUAAACCGUCGUCCAAACAGCUGCUGCGUCGACCAGCCUCCAGCGACGUCCCAAACAACCACCGUCUCCUCCACCUCACUCUAGCCCUCGUCCAUCUCCACCCAGCGUCGUUCAUGGUGGUUCUGUGGUGAGAAGCUUCCAUCUGCGUCGUUCUUCAUCAUCUUCAUCUUCCAAAACAAGGAAGCUCAACCCAACUUCGUCAACUCACCCCUCACGACCACUGCCAUCUCCGAGCUAGCCCACGACCACUUCCCCACUGUCAUACCAUGUCCAGGGACGGACAACCUGCUUCAUCUUCCGAUUUUUGUUCCAAAAUGGAGAUUGUAACACUCCUCAAAUCUAUAGAAGUUUCAAGACCCGCUAAAUAUAGAAGUUAAUUUUUAUAAAUCUUAAAUUAUACUUUUACUACAAAUAAAAAAAAUCCUUAUGAUUGAUUUUGAGUUACUUCCCUAUUUAUAAAUAGUUGGAGCAGCUAGCAAUAGUACCUUUUUCGGACAAGAUACAAAUUGACAAAGCAGAGACAACUGUGGCGAAACAUACAAGAUGAACAAAUUUGAUAACUACAAGACAAAGAGCAGAUAAGCCUUUCUUAGAACAAAACAAUCUUAAACACAGGCAUCAGGUUUUAGUAGGAGAUAGUCUUCAACGGCUUUGUUUAUAGCCAAGACCUUCUCCUUUCCUGCUUUGAUUUCAGCUGACUGCUCAAACUUCACAUCUUAUUUGUUUACUCAAGGUUGUUAAACAAGGCAACAUCUUCGAUCAAUGUGCAUUUGUAUGUGUACGUCUCCUCGUUAAGCUCAUUAACAUGAUACUUUAUGGACAUAAAAUUGCUGCAUACGCACACAAAAGAAGAAAAAAUACCAGAGUUAUCAUUUUAUCUUCAUAAAUAUUAGUAUCUACUAAGCACAUCUCAAGAAAAUCGAACUCGGUAUUCAGAAAACAACCAAACUAUGCUCAAUAUAAAGUUUUCAUAUUUCAGUGAUCAGUAAAGGGAAAUCAAGAAAACAAAUGUCAAGCAUUGUGGGGCAAGUCAUUCAUUACACAGGUAGGAUGAUUGUUUCACUCCAUUUCUUAUACAUAAUGUAAACUUUCUUGGUUUCCUUUUUUUCGCUCAUUUUCUUUUUGAGAAUUUUGGUAGUAAUUUUGAGCUAAUGAUGAUGUGUUUUUACAGCUGCUAAUGUUGGUGUUUUUACAGCUUUCCUCCGUUAUACUGAUAUCUACUUCUGCGAAGGAAAGCAACAAAUCUCUGGUGGCUUCAGCUUUGAGAAUUAAGGAAGAAGUUAAAGAGAAUGAAGGAUGCGACCGUAUUGACCUCAUUAUUGAUGAUGGUCGUGGAAAUAUCCAGAAGCUGUGAGUCACAAUGUGCUUAGGCAACUGCAGCAAAAGCACAGAGAGAGCGGAUGGAGUUCAUUCUUAGCGAAUUGCUGUAGUCAUGAUCUCGUGCUGGGGUGUAUUAUGCAGCUAGUAAUCAGAAGUAAUGUUGGUGAUGUUACAUACGUGUGCCACGUUUCAAGUAUGAGUUUGCUUGGGCAACGAGCAAGUGUGCAAUAUAAAGUUAUAGACUAUUGUGGUCAUUCUCCCUUUUUAAAAAUGAUUUGUGAAGUUGUUCCUCUGGAAAGAUUGUCUUAUGGUCUUCCACUUUGCUUUUGUAGUUUGGUGGUUGUUUCCCCUUUAAUUUCUAUAAUCCCUUCCUUCAUCUUACACCUUCUAUGAGGAUGUGAGCCUAUACAAAAAAUUGUAAGCGUAAUACGAAGCCUAGCUGUUCAAAAGCUGAUUUUGAUAGGCGCAAGGCCUUUGAUUUA